rnacentral:rRNA from 1 species
GUCUUGUUAAAAGGAAUGAUGGUGACCUAAACCCUCACCAGAGUAACAAUUGGAGGGCAAGUCUGGUGCCAGCAGCCGCGGUAAUUCCAGCUCCAAUAGCGUAUAUUAAACUUGUUGCAGUUAAAAAGCUCGUAGUUGAAUUUCUGCGUUAUCGAGUUAUUGACUCUUGUCUUUAAUCGAUUUCGCUUUUGGGAUUUAUCCCUUUUUACUUUGAGAAAAUUAGAGUGUUUCAAGCAGACUUUUGUCUUGAAUACUUCAGCAUGGAAUAAUAGAGUAGGACUUUGGUUCUAUUUUGUUGGUUUUUGAACCUUAGUAAUGGUUAAUAGGAACGGUUGGGGGCAUUCGUAUUUAACUGUCAGAGGUGAAAUUCUUAGAUUUGUUAAAGACGAACUACUGCGAAAGCAUUUGCCAAGGACGUUUCCAUUAAUCAAGAACGAAAGUUAGGGGAUCGAAGACGAUCAGAUACCGUCGUAGUCCUA